GGUAACAGAUGCUGACAGGUCAAUACUAUCUCCAGGUGGAAGUUGUGGCCCCAUCAAAGUGAAAACUGAACCCACAGAAGAUUCUGCAGGCCCUUCUGAAACUGAUGAUGUUGAUGAAAAACAGCCCCUAUCGAAGCCUUUGCAAGGUAUAAUCUUUUCACUUCCAUUCUCCCA
rnacentral:sRNA from 1 species